CUUGGAAAUUCUAUACAAUAUUUGCCAAUUUCAUUAAACCAGGAAAAGACAAUGGAGUUUUAGUUUAAAAUGGUCAAAUUUGGAACAAACUUCAAGCCAGUUAUUUUUGUAAGUGUGUCUUUUAUAUCCUGUGCGAUCUCAAUAACUUUCAGUUUAGUAAAUGACGCCAUGUAAGCCAAGGAAUAUCAGCUUUACUGUGUGUCAACAACUGUGAGAGAAAAUAAACACACAGACAAGAUUCUAUUCUCUAUUAUUCAUUUCUAAAUGUAUAGUAAUAUUCAAAAUUCAUACAUCUGUUACAAUACGUUACAAGAAUCAAAGCAUAAAACUGCUCGUUAAUCACUGUUCCCAAAUGGAAAAUAAAACUCUGACAGAUACAGUAAGUAAAACAGGUUAGUGGUAGCUAUUACACAUUUCUUUAUUAAUUCUUUCUGGAUAGAUAAAACCUGAAGUCCUUCAUGUACAGUAGGCAAAGGCGUAACCGCGAUCAACAACGCAAUAGAACGCAAUAGAACGCUAUGUAUCUGAGCGGCGAGUGGGAAACGGCGAGCUGUGUGUUAAAGGGGAACUUGUUAUAUGUCGUAUAUAUUAAUAGAUGCUACUCUGCAAAGCUGUCUGCAGACAUUUAUUGUACAACUUACUUUAUUCCAACUUACCUACUGUCUGUAGAAUAAUCAGGGAGCACAGCCGCUCACGCAGAAGGGAGGACAAUUAAAGGAACACUCCAAUCAGUACCGAGACGUUAAACUCCUUACAAUGGAGGGGCCAGUGCACUCCUGGCACCAUAACCACUGCAGCGUGUUCUAGUGGUUAUGGUGUUUGGAUUGUAACUUUAUCCUAAAUCCCUAAUAUAGUUUACAAAGGAAUAUGGACAUUACAAUGAAAAUGUUGUCCGUAGAAUACUCAGACAUACAGUUGCAAGAAAAAGUAUGUGAACCCUUUGGAAUUAUAUGGAUUUAUGCACAAAUUGGUCAUAAAAUGUAAUCUGAUCAUCAGUUAAGUCACAACAAUAGACAAUCACAGUCUGCUUAAACUAAUAACACACAAAGAAUGAAAUGUUGCCAUGUUUUUAUUGAACACACCAUGUAAACAUUCACAGUGCAGGUGGAAAAAGUAUGUGAACCCCUAGACUAAUGACAUCUCCAAGAGCUAAUUGGAGUGAGAUGUCAGCCAACUGGAAUCCAAUCAAUGAGAUGAGAUUGGAGGUGUUGGUUACAGCUGCCCUGCCCUAUAAAAAACACACACCAGUUCUGGGUUUGCUUUUCACAAGAAGCAUUGCCUGAUGUGAAUGAUGCCUCGCACAAAAGAGCUCUCAGAAGACCUACGAUUAAGAAUUGUUGACUUGCAUAAAGCUGGAAAGGG